CGCCUCCUGCAACACAACUAUGUAUAGGAGGUCCAGCCUGCCCAGUGACUACAAGUUCAACGGCCGCGGUAUUUUGACCGUGCAAAGGUAGCGCAAUCACUUGUCUUUUAAAUAGAGACCUGUAUGAAUGGCUAAACGAGGGCUUAACUGUCUCCCCUUUCCAGUCAGUGAAAUUGAUCUGCCCGUGCAGAAGCGGACAUAAAAAUACAAGACGAGAAGACCCUUUGGAGCUUAAGGUACAAAACUCAACCACGUCAAGCAACUUAAUAAAAAGCAAAAACUUUGUGGAACAUGAGAUUUUACCUUCGGUUGGGGCGACCACGGAGGAAAACAAAGCCUCCAAGUGGAUUGGGAAAACCUCCUAAAACCAAGAGAGACAUCUCUAAGCCACAGAACAUCUGACCAAACAUGAUCCGGCUGCCCGAAGCCGAUCAACGAACCAAGUUACCCUAGGGAUAACAGCGCAAUCCUCUCCCAGAGUCCAUAUCGACGAGGGGGUUUACGACCUCGAUGUUGGAUCAGGACAUCCUAAUGGUGCAGCCGCUAUUAAGGGUUCGUUUGUUCAACGAUUAAAGUCCU
rnacentral:rRNA from 1 species